AGACAGAGCGGGUUUAAAUCUGUUAGUUUCUGCUGUCCAGAUCAGCCUUUUAUUUCAUUAACCUAAAAAAAGUUUUAUGACACGAUUUACUGCUCAGAGUCCUGCUGACUCACAUCUAGUCGCCGGCCCGUUUCCACGUGUUUGUGUAAGCUGUGCCCCUGGUAUCAUCCAGCUCUUCUUAGCGAACAUGUCAGGCUUACAGAGUCUGUGACGGAAGCUGAAGGUUAAGAUCUUUCUUGUGUAAGUCUUGGGCAGGAGACUGCUGUUUUCCAGUCCUCUCGUUUUGGUCUUUACUGCCGAGUUCCCGUUGCUGUACAGUGGUUAGUAUUGCACCCGUUAGUGGCAGCAUUGCAUAGGAAGAAGUGUAAACUUAUCCUUGCCUGGGACUGGUUUAGGCUCGAGUGGCUGCUGGUCACACUGGAGAAUCGGGUAACGCUAGUCCCAGAAAUCCUGGAUAGAAAAUACUUUUACCAAGAGGGAAUGUGUGUAUAUUAUACCAACUUCAAAGGACCCCCACAGAUGUGUUCCAGGAUGUCAGAUUUGUCAGCAGCUUGUCAGGUGUUGCUGUGGUCGAUUGGUCAGGCAACAUGCUUGCUUUACCGCAAGUCUUGCCAUGAAAUACUCUGAUGUGAAACUGGGUGAAAAUUUGAGUCAGGAAAUAGAAGAAUGGUCAGUGGAAAAACACACAGAGCAGACUUCAACUGAUGCUUAUGGUGUCAUAAAUUUUCAAGGUGGCUCUCAUUCCUACAGAGCUAAGUAUGUGCGAUUGUCAUAUGACACUAAACCUGAAGCCAUUCUGCAACUUAUGCUUAGAGAAUGGCAGAUGGAGCUGCCCAAGCUUGUUAUUUCUGUACAUGGUGGAAUGCAGAAAUUUGAACUUCACCCACGCAUCAAACAAUUGCUUGGUAAAGGUCUUAUUAAAGCUGCAGUAACAACAGGAGCCUGGAUUUUGACUGGAGGAGUGAACACAGGUGUUGCGAAACAUGUUGGUGAUGCCCUCAAAGAACAUGCUUCCAGAUCAUGUCGAAAGAUUUGUACUAUUGGCAUAGCCCCAUGGGGAGUGAUUGAAAACAGAAAUGACCUUGUUGGAAGAGAUGUGGUUGCUCCGUAUCAAACCCUGUUAAACCCUUUAAGUAAACUAAACGUCCUAAAUAAUCUCCAUUCCCAUUUCAUACUGGUGGAUGAUGGAACAGUUGGAAAAUAUGGAGCAGAAGUUAAACUGCGAAGAGAACUGGAAAAAACUAUCAAUUUACAACGGAUCCAUGCAAGAAAAUCCUCCUGUGCCUGUGGUGGUAUGUGAGGGAACGGGUAGAGCUGCAGACAUUCUGGCGCAUGUUCAUAAACAAACAGAAGAAGGAGGGAACAUUCCUGAAGGAGCAGAACCUGAAAUUAUUUCAACUAUCAAAAAGACAUUUAACUUCGGUCAGAGUGAGGCAGUUCAUCUCUUUCAGACGCUGCUGGAAUGCAUGAAAAAAAAAGAACUU